rnacentral:rRNA from 2 species
UACGUAGGUGGCAAGCGUUGUCCGGAUUUACUGGGUGUAAAGGGCGUGUAGACGGGACUGCAAGUCAGAUGUGAAAUUUAUGGGCUCAACCCAUAACCUGCAUUUGAAACUGUGGUUCUUGAGUGAUGGAGAGGUAAGCGGAAUUCCUAGUGUAGCGGUGAAAUGCGUAGAUAUUAGGAGGAACACCGGUGGCGAAGGCGGCUUACUGGACAUUAACUGACGUUGAGGCGCGAAAGUGUGGGGAGCAAACAGG